rnacentral:rRNA from 1 species
AACGAACGCUGGCGGCAGGCCUAACACAUGCAAGUCGAGCGAGGACUUCGGUCCUAGCGGCGGACGGGUGAGUAACGCGUGGGAACGUGCCCUUUGGUACGGAAUAGCCCCGGGAAACUGGGAGUAAUACCGUAUGGUGUCUUCGGACUAAAGAUUUAUCGCCAAAGGAUCGGCCCGCGUUGGAUUAGGUAGUUGGUGGGGUAAUGGCCUACCAAGCCGACGAUCCAUAGCUGGUUUGAGAGGAUGAUCAGCCACACUGGAACUGAGACACGGUCCAGACUCCUACGGGAGGCAGCAGUGGGGAAUAUUGCGCAAUGGGCGAAAGCCUGACGCAGCCACGCCGCGUGAGUGAUGAAGGCCCCAGGGUCGUAAAGCUCUGUCGGGGGGAAGAAGUUCUGACGGUACCCCCCAAGAAAGCACCGGCUAACUCCGUG